CCCUUAGAUGUUCUGGGCCGCACGCGCGCUACACUGAUGCAUUCAACGAGUCUAAAACCUGGUCUGAUAGGGCUGGGUAAUCUUUUGAAUGUGCAUCGUGAUUGGGAUAGAUGAUUGCAAUUCUUCAUCUUCAACGAGGAAUGCCUAGUAAACGCAAGUCAUCAGCUUGCAUUGAUUACGUCCCUGCCCUUUGUACACACCGCCCGUCGCUCCUACCGAUUGAAUGUUCCGAUGAAUACCAUGGACUGAGAGUAUGAAUGGGUUCGCCUAUUUCUGCUUCUCGGGAAGUGGAGUAAAUCUUAACAUUUAGAGGAAGGAAAAGUCGUAACA
rnacentral:rRNA from 1 species